rnacentral:rRNA from 1 species
GAUGAACGCUGGCGGCGUGCCUAAUACAUGCAAGUCGAGCGAACAGACGAGGAGCUUGCUCCUCUGACGUUAGCGGCGGACGGGUGAGUAACACGUGGAUAACCUACCUAUAAGACUGGGAUAACUUCGGGAAACCGGAGCUAAUACCGGAUAAUAUAUUGAACCGCAUGGUUCAAUAGUGAAAGACGGUUUUGCUGUCACUUAUAGAUGGAUCCGCGCCGCAUUAGCUAGUUGGUAAGGUAACGGCUUACCAAGGCAACGAUGCGUAGCCGACCUGAUAGGGUGAUCGGCCACACUGGAACUUAGACACGGUCCAGACUCCUACGGGAGGCAGCAGUAGGGAAUCUUCCGCAAUGGGCGAAAGCCUGACGGAGCAACGCCGCGUGAGUGAUGAAGGUCUUCGGAUCGUAAAACUCUGUUAUUAGGGAAGAACAAAUGUGUAAGUAACUAUGCACGUCUUGACGGUACCUAAUCAGAAAGCCACGGCUAACUACGUG